rnacentral:rRNA from 1 species
UACGAGGGGGGCGAGCGUUGUUCGGAAUUAUUGGGGCGUAAAGGGUGCGUAGGCGGUUUGGUAAGUCUGAUGUGAAAUCUAUGGGCUCAACUCAUAGUCUGCAUCGGAAACUGCCGGGCUUGAGUGUGGGAGAGGUGAGUGGAAUUCCUGGUGUAGCGGUGAAAUGCGUAGAUAUCAGGAGGAACACCUGUGGCGAAAGCGGCUCACUGGACCAUAACUGACGCUGAUGCACGAAAGCUAGGGGGAGCAAACAGG